rnacentral:rRNA from 1 species
GACAUACCAAUCGUAUCCCUAAGAAACUAGGGAGUCAGUUCGGCUGGAUUGGAUACAGGUGUUGCAUGGCUGUCGUCAGCUCGUGUCGUGAGAUGUCGGGUUAAGUCCUUUAACGAGCGCAACCCUCAUUGCAUGUUAAUUUUUCAUGCGAGACUGCCCUGGUUAACAGGGAGGAAGGUGGGGAUGACGUCAAGUCAGCAUGGCCCUUACACCUUGGGCUACACACGUGUUACAAUGGCCGGUACAAUAAGUCGCAAUACCGCAAGGUGGAGCUAAUCUAUGAAAACCGGUCCCAGUUCGGAUUGGGGGCUGAAACUCGCCCCCAUGAAGUUGGAAUCGCUAGUAACCGUGAAUCAGCACGUCACGGUGAAUACGUUCCCGGGUCUU